rnacentral:lncRNA from 1 species
CUCAGUGUGCCCCAAAUAUGUCUUUUCUCCCCUGUCUUUUAUCAGUUUAUUCAUCAUAAUAGGAUUAUGCUUGUGUUCCUCUUGGCUGGGUCCCAGAGGUGCCUUGUAUCCGCUAGGAACAGUCAGCAGCCCCAGCCAAGCUGUCUUGUUUCAGGAUGGCCAGCUGGGGCUGUGUGAAUGGCACACCCUGCAGUUAGCUGUGUCACUGCAGGACUCCUCGCUGCCAGACGAUGUCUUAAUUGCUUGAGAUUGCAGCAUAGCCCAGAUUGGGAACUGAGGGUUUCCUUUUGGGAUGCACCUGGGUCUAACUGGUGAAAUGCACCAUGAGGUGUCCAGAGUACGAGGCAGAGGUCUACACAAACUACUUUAUCUAAAGGCACUUUGGAUGGAGGAAAUGUGUGUGGAUAUGGCAACUUUUCCACAGAGCUGCCAGCUGUUCGUGACACCAGGCUGGCAUGAUUUGUGCCAGCAGCACCGGCAGCCCAUCCCCAAGAGGAAGCCACCAUCCUGAAAGCACGCAGUGCCCUGAAGUCUGUUACAACAAGUGGGCUGAUGUAGCCUGUGCCCACUUGGAGUCAGGCUCCUUAUGAGGUAUCAACAGUGACAAGGCUUUUUGGAAAGCCUCCACCUGAGAGGAAUCAUCCAUGCCCCCACGGGUUUAAAAACUAUCUCCUGGAACUUCUAAAAACUUGAAAAAACCCUCCCAGUGCUCUGGAUUUAAGCUCCCUUAUGUGAAAGUGCACCAAUGAAAGCAAACAGAUGCAUCCCUGCCUACAGGAGGUAAGGCAAGAAACAGGCAGAGCCCAGCAACACACAGUGCCCUGCCAGCUCCUGCAUGGCCCUGGUGCAUCCCUGGGGCUGGACCCCCAUCACAGCGUUUCUGAGAGCCUGCCCCUUGCUCUCAAAGUCCACAGAGCACUUGCAGAUGGGUCUCUCUCACCUUCCUCUCUUUGGAGGUGGUUUCUUUGAGCAGCCUGGGAUGUGUCAGGGAGAGACCUUGUUUUUAUAACCUCCUGUUAUGGCUGGAGGUGAUGCCUCUGUGGUGACAGCUGGGAAGCAGGCUUUGAUCUGGUGCAUCAAUGCCUCCUCUGGGAAUUCAAGCCUCUGAGCCUUACUUGCCCUGGGCAAUCAUUAGGAGGAUUUCCCCUAAAUAAAGAGCCAUCA